AAAAUUUUAAAACUGCAGACAUGAAAUCAAAAUGCCAGCUAAAAGGCCCGAAGCAGGUAAUGAGACACAUUCAAGUAAUACUUGUUGCAAAUAUCCUCAACUAGGAUAGAAUACUUACCAUUGCUUUUAUAUGUCUUGUAAUUCGUAACCCAAAAAAAAAAAGGAUCAGACAAGUCAUACCAGGACCAAGGCGAAGCACUUCAUCUUUUAUGCAUUUACAUAUUAGAGGAAAAUGUCUCUCAAUUACAACGAGAAACUACUUUGAACAUGGUACAUAAUACGGUUCCACCCCCCCCCCCCCCCCAAGUGCCAAAACUUUUGAUAGGCUUCAAAGAAUCAGUUCACCCUAUACAUCAGAUGAUUCAACUGUGACAAAAUUGAAGAGACUUUUCU
rnacentral:lncRNA from 1 species